AUACGGAGGAUGCAAGCGUUAUCCGGAUUUAUUGGGUUUAAAGGGUGCGUAGGCGGAUGAUUAAGCGUGAGGUGAAAUGCCACUGCUCAACAGUGGAACUGCCUCGCGAACUGGUUGUCUUGAAUGCUCCUGCCGUGGGAGGAAUGUGUGGGGUAGCGGUGAAAUGCAUAGAGAUCACACAGAACACCGAUUGCGAAGGCAUCUCACGAAGGGGUGAUUGACGCUGAGGCACGAAAGCGUGGGGAUCAAACAGGAUUAGAUACCCUGGUAGUCCACGCAGUAAACGAUGAUAACUAACCGCUGGGUCGUAGUGAUUCAGUGGCCAAGCGAAAGCGAUAAGUUAUCCACCUGGGGAGUACGACCGCAAGGUUGAAACUCAAAUGAAUUGGCGGGG
rnacentral:rRNA from 1 species